rnacentral:piRNA from 1 species
UGGCCCAAAGGUUGGUAGACUAGUUGGUA